AGAGUUUGAUCCUGGCUCAGAUUGAACGCUGGCGGCAUGCCUUACACAUGCAAGUCGAGCGGCAGCGCGGGGGCAACCCUGGCGGCGAGCGGCGGACGGGUGAGUAAUACAUCGGAACGUGUCCUGUCGUGGGGGAUAACCAGUCGAAAGACUGGCUAAUACCGCAUGAGAUCUCACGAUGAAAGCGGGGGACCGCAAGGCCUCGCGCGACUGGAGCGGCCGAUGUCGGAUUAGCUAGUUGGCGGGGUAAAAGCCCACCAAGGCUACGAUCCGUAGCUGGUUUGAGAGAACGACCAGCCACACUGGGACUGAGACACGGCCCAGACUCCUACGGGAGGCAGCAGUGGGGAAUUUUGGACAAUGGGGGCAACCCUGAUCCAGCCACGCCGCGUGUGUGAAGAAGGCCUUCGGGUUGUAAAGCACUUUCGGCCGGAACGAAAUCGCGCGGGUGAACAUCCCGCGUGGAUGACGGUACCGAAGAA
rnacentral:rRNA from 1 species